rnacentral:rRNA from 1 species
CGGCGGACGGUGAGUAACGCGUGGGUAACCUGCCUUACACAGGGGGAUAACAGUUAGAAAUGACUGCUAAUACCGCAUAAGACCCCGGUACCGCAUGGUACAGAGGUAAAAACUGAGGUGGUGUAAGAUGGACCCGCGUCUGAUUAGGUAGUUGGUGAGGUAACGGCUCACCAAGCCGACGAUCAGUAGCCGGCCUGAGAGGGUGGACGGCCACAUUGGGACUGAGACACGGCCCAGACUCCUACGGGAGGCAGCAG